rnacentral:pre_miRNA from 1 species
UUAUUACUCCCUCCGUCCGAAAAUACUUGUCAUCAAAAUGAAUAAAAAGUGAUGUAUCUAGAACAUCUAGAUACAUCACUUUUUAUUCAUUUUGAUGACAAAUAUUUCCGGACGGAGGGAGUACUUC